UAGGGAAUCUUCGGCAAUGGACGGAAGUCUGACCGAGCAACGCCGCGUGAGUGAAGAAGGUUUUCGGAUCGUAAAACUCUGUUGUUAGAGAAGAACAAGGAUGAGAGUAGAAUGUUCAUCCCUUGACGGUAUCUAACCAGAAAGCCACGGCUAACUACGUGCCAG
rnacentral:rRNA from 1 species